rnacentral:rRNA from 1 species
AUUGAACGCUGGCGGCAGGCCUAACACCUGCAAGUCGAGCGGAGCGGCUGACGGGUGAGUAAUGCCUAGGAAUCUACCUGGUCGUGGGGGAUAACGUCCGGCAACGGGCGCUCAUUCCGCACACUAUCCGCUGAGCCUCGGCCGGAUUGGCUAGUUGGGGGGGAAAAGGCCUACCAAGGCGACGAUCCGUACCUGGGCGGAGAGGAUGAUCAGUCACACUGGAACUGAGACACGGUCCAGACUCCUACGGGAGGCAGCAGUGGGGAAUAUUGGACAAUGGGCGAAAGCCUGAUCCAGCCAUGCCGCGUGUGUGAAGAAGGUCUUCGGAUUGUAAAGCACUUUAAGUUGGGAGGCGUUACCAACAGAAUAAGCACCGGCUAACUUCGUGCCAGCAGCCGCGGUAAUAC